rnacentral:sRNA from 1 species
UUAAUAUUUCUAACCAAUCACAUAUAUUCCAAAACAGAAGGUUGCUGCAUGCUUGGGAUUCCCCGAGCCAGCUGAAAUCUUGCCGACAAGCCUUGAGCUAAAUAUAGACAAAGCAAAGUGUUUCAAUGCAAGAUCAAAGAAGAUAGCUCCUGGAGCUCUGGGCUAUCUCGACACCUUGAUGAUACUUCUAGGUGCCGCAUUAACAGCCUAAGUGGAGCAGAACCAGGGGAUUUGUUAAUCUUUGCAGGAGGACCCAAAUUUAAUCCACAUUCAAUUCUGGGUCAGAUUAGACUAAACACUGCUAACUUGUUGGAAUCUAAAGGAAUCAAAGUUAGAGAAGAUGGAUUCCAAUUCCUGUGGGUUGAUAAUUUCCCUUUGUUUCUACCAAAAGAAAAUGGAGGUGAAGGCCUUGAGUCUGCUCAUCAUCCUUUCACAGCACCACAUCCUGAAGACUUACAUCAUCUAUACAGUAAGCCAGAACUAGUAAGUUACAUCUUCUAUACAGUAAGCCAGAACUAGUAAGUUACAUCUUAUCUACAGUAAGCCAGAACUAGUAAGUUACA